GACGAACGCUGGCGGCGUGCCUAAUACAUGCAAGUAGAACGCUGAAGGAGGAGCUUGCUUCUCCGGAUGAGUUGCGAACGGGUGAGUAACGCGUAGGUAACCUGCCUGGUAGCGGGGGAUAACUAUUGGAAACGAUAGCUAAUACCGCAUAAGAGUAGAUGUUGCAUGACAUUUGCUUAAAAGGUGCAAUUGCAUCACUACCAGAUGGACCUGCGUUGUAUUAGCUAGUUGGUGGGGUAACGGCUCACCAAGGCGACGAUACAUAGCCGACCUGAGAGGGUGAUCGGCCACACUGGGACUGAGACACGGCCCAGACUCCUACGGGAGGCAGCAGUAGGGAAUCUUCGGCAAUGGACGGAAGUCUGACCGAGCAACGCCGCGUGAGUGAAGAAGGUUUUCGGAUCGUAAAGCUCUGUUGUAAGAGAAGAACGAGUGUGAGAGUGGAAAGUUCA
rnacentral:rRNA from 1 species